UACGGAGGGUGCAAGCGUUAAUCGGAAUUACUGGGCGUAAAGCGCACGCAGGUGGCUAAGUCAGUCGAUUGUGAAAGCCCUGGGCUUAACCUGGGAAUUGCAGUCGAUACUACUUAGCUAGAGUAUGGGAGAGGGCAGUGGAAUUCCCGGUGUAGCGGUGAAAUGCGUAGAUAUCGGGAGGAAUAUCAGUGGCGAAGGCGGCUGCCUGGCCCAAUACUGACACUCAGGUGCGACAGCGUGGGGAGCAAACAGG
rnacentral:rRNA from 1 species